GACAUCCUAGGGGAGGGUCCCCGAGAAUCCUGGAACGGCAACGCCGACGUCGAGGCCGAGCGCUGCAUCUGCAACCCCAUCAGCGGCGAGGUGCUCCGCCUCCCGUACCCCGGUGGCCCCGGAGGGUCCAGGAAGAACCUGGGCCACCGCCACAUGGGCCUCCUCACCCAAGCCGGCGGCGGUUGCGGGCACGGCCCCCCUGACAGGUUCGCCGUCGCCGACAUCGUCAGCCAGCGUGACCGCAUCGUCGAUCGGUUUCUCCCGGAGGUAGGCAGGUGGGAUCUGCUUCUUGGCGUACCAUGCCGGCCACCGCUCGCGUGGGAGAUGGAGAUGGACCAAGAGACGGUGGCCUUCGCCGGCCGCCUCUGGUGGGUCGACCUGACCUGCGGCGCCGUCUCCAUGGACCCGUUCAGCAACCAGCCGGAGCUCCGCUUCGUCCCGCUGCCGAAUGGCACCUCGCUCACCUUCAUUCUCUUGGAACACAAAGACUCGAGCGCGGAGCAUCUUGCCCAGUUCAGGCGGGAGGUGGCCAAGUGCCGGCGCAUCGGCGUCAGCGAGGGGAGGCUGCGCUUCGUUGACGCGUCCAUUCACGACCCAUUCCUGCUCAGCUCGUUUGUGCUUGACGACGAGGCCAGGAGCUGGACGCUGGAGCACCAGGUGGAGCUCAGGAAGGUCUUGGAGGAUGGAGGCCACCCGUGCGAACAGGCGAAGAGGCCGCCGCAGAUCGCCGUCAUCGACCCACUCAACGCCGACAUCAUCUACAUCACCGUCGGCGAGCAGAAGCACAUCGUCGCCGUGGACAUGUACCAGGAGAAGGUGAUUGGGAGCUCUCCGCUUCAAAACCAAUACCAUUCGCUUGUACCAUGCGUUCUUCCACCCUGGCUUGGAUCAAGCCAGAUUCCUAACAAAGAUUGA
rnacentral:rRNA from 1 species